CUGUAGAGUUCAGCUCAAUCCCUAAUUAAAACUCACCUGCCUGUAGCUUUCUAGGAACCCUUCAGACCUUGAUUAGCUUGUUCAGGUGUGAUUAAUUAGGGUUGAAGCAAAACUCUGCAGGGCUGUGGCUCUCCAGGACCAAUGCUCGCCACCCCUGGUCUAGACAGUGUACAAAUAUAUGACAUUUUUAUGGUGGUCUGUCAGUUAUUAUUUAUAUGAAAACAGAGGACGACUGAAGUAUGAACAAAAUGCAACAAUACUGAGAUGUUGCACAAUGCAGGUUGGGAGUGUUUUGGAGCCUUUUUUUCUGACUGUCGGCCGAAAUGUCAUCAGAACGGUGAUAACAACAACUGAUGAGUUUGUGGAUCAUGACAUUAAAGGUGUUUUGGAGCCUUUUCUUGUGAUUGCCAUCAUAACAGUGAUAACAUCAACUGUUUAGUUAAUGUCAGUUAGCCUAAGUAAACUAGUUAGAGAAGUACAACUUCUACACUGCCUCUUUAUUUCAAGUUUGGUCAGACAAACAUAACAUAACGUAAACAGCAAGAGUAAACAGUUAAGAGUUAAGAAACAGCUGUUAAGUACAUAUUUUAUAUUUUAUUCUCAAGUUUAUGGUCUUGUAGUCAUACCGUCUGCAACUGAGGUGUAUCGGAGUAAUUUCUUGUGAUUGCCGUUGUAGUUCUGUAACAACAGGUGAGUAAGCUAACAUCAACUAUAUUAGCCAAAUUAGCCACUGGCUGCUG
ensembl:lncRNA